CCUACGUGAGGCAGCAGUGGGGAAUAUUGCACAAUGGGGGAAACCCUGAUGCAGCGACGUCGCGUGAGUGAAGACGUAUUUCGGUAUGUAAAGCUCUAUCUGCAGGGAAGUAAAUGACUGUACCUGAUUAAGACUCCCCGUCUAACUACGUGCCGGCAGCGGCGGUAAUACGUCGGGGGCAGGCGUUAUCCGGAUUUACUGGGUGUAAAGGGAGCGUAGACGGCAGCACAAGUCUGGAGUGAAAUGCCGGGGCUUAACCCUGGAACUGCUUUGGAAACUGUGCAGCUAGAGUGCAGGAGAGGUAAGUGGAAUUCCUAGUGUAGCGGUGAAAUGCGUAGAUAUUAGGAGGAACACCAGUGGCGAAGGCGGCUUACUGGACUGUAACUGACGUUGAGGCUCGAAAGCGUGGGGAGCAAACAGGAUUAGAUACCCGUGUAGUC
rnacentral:rRNA from 1 species